AGGCUUCGACGCCGGUGGCGAACCCUUGAGUGCAUGUCGAGAUGGCAGCCAAUCUCGUUAAUCCAAAGCUGCAACGCAAUAGUCGCAAACGACGAAAACUACGCACUAGCAGCGUAAGCUGCUAGUCGUCCUGACCGGGUCGCCCGUAGCCCGGAAGCAACAUCUCAGGACGUCAUCGCUUACGGGAUGCUCCGUUACCCAGAGUUCACUGGUUAACGGCUAAGAUUUAAAGAACUCG
rnacentral:sRNA from 1 species